GAUGAAGAACGUAGCGAAAUGCGAUAAGUAAUGUGAAUUGCAGAAUUCAGUGAAUCAUCGAAUCUUUGAACGCACAUUGCGCCCGUGAGUAUUCUGGCGGGCAUGCCUGUUCGAGCGUCAUUACGCCCCUCAAGUCCCCUGUGGACUUGGUGUUGGGGAUCGGCGAGGCUGGCUUUCCAGCACAGCCGUCCCUUAAAUUAAUUGGCGGUCUCGCCGUGGCCCUCCUCUGCGCAGUAGUAAAACACUCGCAACAGGAGCCCGGCGCGGUCCACUGCCGUAAAACCCCCCAACUUUUUAUAGUUGACCUCGAAUCAGGUAGGACUACCCGCUGAACUUAAGCAUAUCAAUAAGCGGAGGA
rnacentral:misc_RNA from 1 species